AAGAAAAUGACAGAAUGGUUAUGUGAUUGACUUGAAAUCAAAAUAUGGGGGUUCAAUUCCCUCUUUUCUUG
rnacentral:tRNA from 1 species